UACGGAGGGAGCUAGCGUUGUUCGGAAUUACUGGGCGUAAAGCGCGCGUAGGCGGCUUUGUAAGUUAGAGGUGAAAGCCCGGAGCUCAACUCCGGAACUGCCUUUAAAACUGCAUCGCUUGAAUCCAGGAGAGGUGAGUGGGAAUUCCGAGUGUAGAGGUGAAAUUCGUAGAUAUUCGGAAGAACACCAGUGGCGAAGGCGGCUCACUGGACUGGUAUUGACGCUGAGGUGCGAAAGCGUGGGGAGCAAACAGG
rnacentral:rRNA from 1 species